rnacentral:rRNA from 1 species
AAUUUUGCGCAAUGGGCGAAAGCCUGACGCAGCGACGCCGCGUGUACGAUGAAGGCCUUUGGGUCGUAAAGUACUGUCAACGGGGACGAACGCGGCACAUUGAAUAGAUGUGUCGUCUGACGGUACCCGUGGAGGAAGCACCGGCUAACUCUGUGCCAGCAGCCGCGGUAAUACAGAGGGUGCAAACGUUGCUCGGAAUGACUGGGCGUAAAGCGCGCGCAGGUGGCCCGUUAAGUCGGCUGUGAAAUCCCCUGGCUCAACCAGGGAAGUGCAGUCGAUACUGGCAGGCUCGAGUCCCGGAGAGGGUGGUAGAAUUCCCAGUGUAGAGGUGAAAUUCGUAGAUAUUGGGAGGAAUACCGGUGGCGAAGGCGACCGCCUGGACGGGUACUGACACUGAGGCGCGAAAGCGUGGGGAGCAAACAGGAUUAGAUACCCUGGUAGUCCACGCCGUA